rnacentral:snRNA from 1 species
GUACUCGGUUCAGCAGCACAUAUACUAAAACUGGAAUGACACAGAGAAGAUUAGCAUGGCCCCAGCACAAGGAUGACAUGUGAAUUCGUGAAGCUUUCCAUAUUUUU